rnacentral:lncRNA from 1 species
UAUAAGUUCCCAUGAGUUUAAUUAACAUCUGUAAGCCUAUGACUCCUAGAUCUAUAUUCAGGCCAGGUCUCUUUUCUGAGCUAUGGUCUUGCUUCUCCAACUGCCCUUUAGACAUGUUGAACUUCAUUUGGCAGAUGCCUCUCAAACUCAACAAGUUCAAAAUGGAAGUCAUUAUCUUUUCCCCUAAUUUCACUCUUCUAUUGAAUUUCUCUGUUAUGAAUGAGGGUGCCACCAUCUUCUCCAUCACUCAGCUUACCACUUUUACCAUGCUGUCUGCAAGCCCAAAAAAGAGGCCCAAGAGGACCGCUCACUCCCUAAUAUCCUCUUUCUACAGAAGACAAAUCCCAAGAAGAAUACAAAAAGGAGUACAUCCUCAAUAUCCAGGUCUACUGAUGCAUUUACUUGCCCUGACAAACAGCAGGAUCAAUCAUAUAUUAAGACCCUGAUAUGUACUAAUAUGUAGACAGUGGACUCCCAAGAUAGAAAGAACUAAAGGCCUAAGAGAAAAGGAACAUGUUCUAUCCAUCCUCCAAACAGAGUGAGAGCCAUGGCCAAUUCUAAGGAGAAGACAAAGAGAAGAGUUGGAGAAAAGAGUUACCACACCCAAUGGGAUUCAGUAAAGGUCAUGGAGUUGAAAAUGAGUUGAAAUGCAGAAGCUGGCAAACAGAGAAAAGGCUGGAAGUAACACAAAGAGAUAAGGGCAAGCCAAGGUCAGAAAAGCCAAAGAAAUAAAGUCAAAAAUGGUAAGGCA